GGCCCGCUGGCGCAAUUGGUAGCGCGUCCGCCUCCAGAGCGGAAGGUUAUCCGUUCAAAUCGGGUGUGGGUCA